GCCGCAGCGAAAGCGAGUCUGAACAGGGCGCAUCAGUCCGUCGUCGUAGACCCGAAACCAGGUGAUCUACCCAUGUCCAGGAUGAAGGUCAGGUAACACUGACUGGAGGUCCGAACCCACGCACGUUGAAAAGUGCGGGGAUGAGGUGUGGGUAGCGGUGAAAUGCCAAUCGAACCUGGAGAUAGCUGGUUCUCUCCGAAAUAGCUUUAGGGCUAGCCUCGAGGUGAAGAGUUCUGGAGGUAGAGCACUGAUUGGACUAGGGGCCCCCACAGGGUUACCGAAUUCAGUCAAACUCCGAAUGCCAGCAACUUUUACUCGGGAGUCAGACUGCGAGUGAUAAGAUCCGUAGUCGAGAGGGAAACAGCCCAGACCAUCAGCUAAGGUCCCCAAGUGUAUGUUAAGUGGAAAAGGAUGUGGCGCUGCACAGACAACUAGGAUGUUGGCUUAGAAGCAGCCACCAUUCAAAGAGUGCGUAAUAGCUCACUAGUCGAGUGGCGCCGCGCCGAAAAUGUAACGGGGCUAAACAUACCACCGAAGCUAUGGAUCCCGUAAGGGAUGGUAGGAGAGCGUUCCAAGCAGCAGUGAAGCGGUACCGUGAGGAGCCGUGGAGCGCUUGGAAGUGAGAAUGCCGGUGUGAGUAGCGAAAAGAGGGGUGAGAAUCCCCUCCGUCGAAAGCCCAAGGUUUCCUGAGGAAGGCUCGUCCGCUCAGGGUUAGUCUGGACCUAAGCCGAGGCCGAAAGGCGUAGGCGAUGGACAACAGGUUGAUAUUCCUGUACCGCCGUACCACCGUUCGAACGAUGGGGGGACGCAGAAGGAUAAGGUGACCGUGCGACUGGAAGUGCACGGACAAGCAGCAAGGCCGUCGGGUUGGCAAAUCCGCCCGACACCAAGGUUGAGCUGUGACGUGGAGCCCGUAGGGCGAAGCACCGGAUUUCACGCUGCCAAGAAAAGCCUCUAGUGAGGAGGUCGGCGCCAGUACCGCAAACCGACACAGGUAGGCGAGAUGAGAAUUCUAAGACGCGCGGGAUAACUCUCGUUAAGGAACUCGGCAAAAUGGUCCCGUAACUUCGGGAGAAGGGACGCUUAUGGCAACAUAAGCCGCAGUGAAUAGGCCCAAACGACUGUUUAGCAAAAACACAGGUCUCUGCUAAAUCGCAAGAUGAAGUAUAGGGGCUGACGCCUGCCCGGUGCUGGAAGGUUAAGGGGAUGUGUCAUCGCAAGAGAAGCACUGAACCGAAGCCCCAGUAAACGGCGGCCGUAACUAUAACGGUCCUAAGGUAGCGAAAUUCCUUGUCGGGUAAGUUCCGACCCGCACGAAAGGCGUAACGAUUUGGGCACUGUCUCAACGAGAGACCCGGUGAAAUCAUAGUACCUGUGAAGAUGCAGGUUACCCGCGACAGGACGGAAAGACCCCAUGGAGCUUUACUACAGCCUGAUAUUGAGGCUUUGUACGCGAUGUACAGGAUAGGUGGGAGUCUGUGAAGCCGGAGCGCCAGCUUCGGUGGAGACACCCUUGGGAUACCACCCUUUGCGUAUAGAGUCUCUAACUCGCAGCCGUGAUCCGGCUGGAGGACCGUGUCAGGCGGGUAGUUUGACUGGGGCGGUCGCCUCCUAAACAGUAACGGAGGCGCCCAAAGGUUCCCUCAGAAUGGUUGGAAAUCAUUCGAAGAGUGCAAAGGCAGAAGGGAGCUUGACUGCGAGACCUACAAGUCGAGCAGGGACGAAAGUCGGGCUUAGUGAUCCGGUGGUUCCGCAUGGAAGGGCCAUCGCUCAACGGAUAAAAGCUACCCUGGGGAUAACAGGCUGAUCUCCCCCAAGAGUCCACAUCGACGGGGAGGUUUGGCACCUCGAUGUCGGCUCAUCGCAUCCUGGGGCUGGAGUAGGUCCCAAGGGUUGGGCUGUUCGCCCAUUAAAGCGGUACGCGAGCUGGGUUCAGAACGUCGUGAGACAGUUCGGUCCCUAUCCGUCGUGGGCGCAGGAAAUUUGAGGAGAGCUGUCCUUAGUACGAGAGGACCGGGAUGGACGCACCGCUGGUGUACCAGUUGUUCCGCCAGGAGCAUCGCUGGGUAGCUACGUGCGGACGGGAUAAGUGCUGAAAGCAUCUAAGCAUGAAGCCCCCUCCGAGAUGAGAUUUCCCUUUGAGCAAUCAAGAAAGACCCCUCAGAGACGAUGAGGUAGAUAGGUCAUGGGUGGAAGCGUGGUGACACGUGGAGCUGAAUGAUACUAAUCGGUCGAGGCUUUGAUCU
rnacentral:rRNA from 1 species